AGGGAAUUUUGCGCAAUGGAGGAAACUCUGACGCAGCAACGCCAUGUGUGGGAUGAAGCAUUUCGGUGUGUAAACCACUGUCAGCAGGGAAUAAAUAGCUCCUUCGGGGGCGAUUGAAUGUACCUGCAAAGGAAGCCCCGGCUAACUUCGUGCCAGCAGCCGCGGUAAUACGAGGGGGGCAAAUGUUGUUCGGAAUCACUGGGCGUAAAGGGAGCGUAGGCGGGUGUUUAAGUUAGGUGUUUAAUCCUGGGGCCCAACCCCAGUCGUGCACCUAAAACUGGACAUCUUGAAUAGUGGAGAGGUCAGUGGAAUUGGAGGUGUAGCGGUGGAAUGCGUAGAGAUCUCCAAGAACACCAGUUGCGAAGGCGGCUGACUGGACACAUAUUGACGCUGAGGCUCGAAAGCAUGGGGAGCAAA
rnacentral:rRNA from 1 species